CGAGAAACCUUUGCAAUGUGCGCAAGCACGACAAGGUUAAUCCGAGUGAUUCCUGCUUAAAGGAAUCUUUUUGUUAGUUGUAAAACCACUGAUGAAUAGGGGGUGGGCAAGUUCUGGUGUCAGCCGCCGCGGUAAAACCAGCACCUCAAGUGGUCAGGAGGAUUAUUGGGCCUAAAGCAUCCGUAGCCUGUCCUGUAAGUUUCCGGUUAAAUCCAUUUGCCCAACAAAUGGGCUGCCGAAAAAUCUGCAGGACUAGGGAGUGGGAGAGGUAGACGGUACUCGGUAGGAAGGGGUAAAAUCCUUGAUCUAUUGAAUGACCACUGUGCGAAGGCGGUCUACCAGAACACGUUCGACGGUGAGGGAUGAAAGC
rnacentral:rRNA from 2 species